CUUUACCGCCGAGAAUUAGGUGUCAUUUUGCGACUUAAUAGGGAAUCUGGUGAAAUUCCAGAGCUGUCCCCGCAACUGUAAGUGUGGAUGAAAUGAGCAAAACCACUGUAUAAGCAUGUCUCAGGCGACUUAUAUGGGAAGGGCUCAAAGUAAAGUGAAACACAAGUCAGUAGACCUGCCCAUUCUCUUAGUUUCGC
rnacentral:ncRNA from 2 species